CUCAGGAUGAACGCUGGCGGCGUGCCUAAUACAUGCAAGUCGAGCGAACUGAUUAGAAGCUUGCUUCUAUGACGUUAGCGGCGGACGGGUGAGUAACACGUGGGCAACCUGCCUGUAAGACUGGGAUAACUUCGGGAAACCGAAGCUAAUACCGGAUAGGAUCUUCUCCUUCAUGGGAGAUGAUUGAAAGAUGGUUUCGGCUAUCACUUACAGAUGGGCCCGCGGUGCAUUAGCUAGUUGGUGAGGUAACGGCUCACCAAGGCAACGAUGCAUAGCCGACCUGAGAGGGUGAUCGGCCACACUGGGACUGAGACACGGCCCAGACUCCUACGGGAGGCAGCAGUAGGGAAUCUUCCGCAAUGGACGAAAGUCUGACGGAGCAACGCCGCGUGAGUGAUGAAGGCUUUCGGGUCGUAAAACUCUGUUGUUAGGGAAGAACAAGUACAAGAGUAACUGCUUGUACCUUGACGGUACCUAACCAGAAAGCCACGGCUAACUACGUGCC
rnacentral:rRNA from 2 species